CUGCAACUCGACUACAUGAAGCUGGAAUCGCUAGUAAUCGCGGAUCAGAAUGCCGCGGUGAAUACGUUCCCGGGUCUUGUACACACCGCCCGUCACACCAUGGGAGUCGGGAAUGCCCGAAGCCAGUGACCCAAGCGAGAGCAGGGAGCUGUCGAAGGCAGGCCGGAUAACUGGGGUGAAGUCGUAACAAGGUAGC
rnacentral:rRNA from 1 species